rnacentral:rRNA from 1 species
AACGAACGCUGGCGGCGUGCUUAACACAUGCAAGUCGAACGAUAACGCUCGGCUUGCUGGGGGACGGGGUGGCGACCCGGUGGGACACACCCUUGUGUUCGGCACUCUUCCCUGGAAUAGGGGCCAAAAACGGGUACUAUUUUUGGAUCUACAAUUUAUCGCCUUUGGGUGGGGGUGGGUUGGAUUAGCCAGUUGGUAGGGUAAAAGCCUACCAAGGCGCCGAUUGAUAGCUGGUCUGAGAGGAUGGUCAGCCACGCUGGGACUGAGACACGGCCCAGACUCCUACGGAAGGCAGCAGUGGGGAAUAUUGGACGAUGGGCGGAAGCCUGAUCCAGCAAUGCCGCGUGAGUGAUGAAGGCCUUAGGGUUGUAAAGCUCUUUUGCCCGGGAUGAUAAUGACGGUACCGGGAGAAUAAGCGCCGGCUAACUACGUG